UACGAAGGGGGCUAGCGUUGCUCGGAAUUACUGGGCGUAAAGCGCACGUAGGCGGCUUUCUAAGUCGGGUGUGAAAUCCUGGAGCUUAACUCCAGAACUGCCUUCGAUACUGGAGAGCUAGAGUCCGGGAGAGGUGAGUGGAACUGCGAGUGUAGAGGUGAAAUGCGUAGAUAUUCGCAAGAACACCAGUGGCGAAGGCGGCUCACUGGCCCGAUACUGACGCUGAGGUGCGAAAGCGUGGGGAGCAAACAGG
rnacentral:rRNA from 1 species